rnacentral:rRNA from 1 species
UACGGGGGGAGCAAGCGUUGUUCGGAUUUACUGGGCGUAAAGGGCGCGUAGGCGGCGCAACAAGUCACUUGUGAAAUCUCCGGGCUUAACUCGGAAAGGUCAAGUGAUACUGUUGUGCUAGAGUGCGGAAGGGGCAACUGGAAUUCUCGGUGUAGCGGUGAAAUGCGUAGAUAUCGAGAGAAACACCUGCGGCGAAGGCGGGUUGCUGGGCCGACACUGACGCUGAUGCGCGAAAGCCAGGGGAGCGAACGGG